GGUUUGGAGGUGGAGCUCCUAUCAUUCCAAUGAAGGGUCUACCGGAAGGGUUUGUGCAGCUGCUUGUUCAUGGUUCCCACUAUCCUAUCUCCAUUAGAACACGAGGAGAUAGGCUUGUGGUUUGCAUGAUCGAGGAGCCGCUUCGAUCCCUCGCUGACCGCUGUUUGGAUUGAAGGGAGCUCUGCAUCUUGAUCUA
rnacentral:pre_miRNA from 2 species